ACCAACAACACUUGACACUAAUGAAAUCUGCCUACCUUAAAUAUCAGUGUUUACAAACACUAAAAGUGACCCCUAGUGCCACGCAUAAGGUAAUAAAUGCAAAAAUGACUCUUAGGCUGCUUUUAAUUAAGGCACACCUUUCCCUCCCACAGGUAAAUGUGGAGGAAAAGGUGGUUUAUGGAUUCUUGGGCAGCACCUGGCUGAGAAUCUUAAGGUUUUAACGCUUCAGUACCACAGUGGGAGUUGUUGAACGCUCACUGGUUCGUCACAGUCAGGAGUUGCUAACACAGAUUCUCCAACCUGUGAACAGCCACGAGCUACAGUAACAGUUCACAGGUGUCGACUUCCACUCUUAGAUCGCCUCUUCGUUCAAACGUGGAUGAAAGUCGUGGGGAGAUUUUGUGAUAAUGAAGUCGGCAGCAGCUCUCCAGACUGAGUGUCGCUCUGCUGACCUCUGCAAGCAUUAUUUGUUUAAAGCCCGGCUAAUCCUCGAUUGUCACGCUCCUCUAAUCCCAUCGCUGGCCUUCCUUCUGAAUCCCACCGCCUCCCCCCUUUCUCCUCACACGCAGACUUCAGAAAUCGCCACGACCGCCACUCCAACAUGAACCAAAUGUCAGCCUCAAAUUAUAGCUGCCGCUCUACCAUAGGUCACAGCUCCUCAAAUGUAUGUGGAGGACUGAGGAGGGGAAACUUGCAGAGGAGGCGGGGUAAUAAAAAACAAACAGCCUGUGCUGAGAUUAAAGAAAGAUGGUGACCAUGUUUAACCACUUCUCUUUCUACCUCUGACCUUUAAUUUUGGUCCAGAGUGAAAAAUUAAAAGUAAAAACUCUUGGACCAACCCACCUUCUGCCUCUACUGUCCAACAGCGGCUUUCCUGUGGCAAUGGUUGGGUUAACGGGUAAACUAGAAACAGGAGGCAGAACUGAAGGAUCAGCAAACAGGAAAACAAGGAAACUAAAAGUAAAAAUCAGUGUAAGGGAGCUCUGGCUAAAAUCGUGGAUAUUCUGUCCACUUUCACUCUCCUUCUCUUAAACAAGAAGUGGUUAUUCAUUGUUGGUAACCUAAACUGCAACAGGAAAAGUUAGCCUUAAUGUGCAGAUUUGUAGUGAAUGAGUGCGAUGUGGAGGACAACCUGUUUGUGACAAGAUCAUCAGACAAGAUCAAAUAUACAAAGCAGAGACAGAGAGUGAAAGUGGACAUCUUUGGUCUUUCAACAUAAAACUCAAAACUCUAUCUAUUAUCUGUUUAUAACCCAGUGAUGUCAUGUUCUGUACUGACACUAGAUGGCGUUAAACAUCUCGAGUCAGUACAGUGGACGCUGUCCUUACACAUGUGGCGUUUCACGUGCAAAACUUUGACGACAUUUUACUGGUGAGUGUUUUCGAUGUGUGCAGCUGGUUUUAAUCUUUAAUGUUUCUUUUACUCAUCUUUCCCUUUUAACAGGAAACUGUACUCAGCGUUUUGCCGGGUUAACUCACUGCACCAUCUUGCGGUACAAAUUGGUAUUACAUGAAAGUACAGCCCCCGCUUUGAUUCAAGCCGAUAUCUCGUAAACACAUUCAAAGAUGAUGUGAAGUCAUGAGGUCAUAGUCACUGUUCCUUCAUGUUCUAAUUAUAUAAUUAGAUAAUUGUUCAGAUGACUUUCUUCAGAUAAUUCAGAAAAAAAAACGUAUUUUUAAAAAAGUGAGUUUAAUUUUCUAUUUGAAUUUAUUUUGUUUAAAUAUUUAUUUUUGAUAUAUUUCUUGUAUGUCUGUGGAAGCAGCUGAAUGAAUAACGUUUGAAUGACUGAUGAUUUGAGGUGUUUCCAAUCAUCUGUUUUUCAGUCAUAACCCUGAUUCACGAGGAGGCGCUCUCUGCUGGGCGGGGGGUUUACCUCUGACCCCCCUCGGUCGUGGUCCCGCCGCAGGUUUGGUUUUAAUGGUGGCGUUGCUCUCGGCUGUUUCGUCUCAGACCGGUCUCUCCUGGAUUUUUUUUUAAUGUCACUGAGCAACCAAAAUGUUCCCAGAUUAGAAAAAAAAGGUGGACACCUGAGUCGUUCUUCCAGCUGUGAACGUGGAAAAUUUACAGGAAGAAGCAAUUACAGAAGAUUUGAGAGAUAAAAAGACAAACGAUUCAUGCAUAAUGCAGAGCAGCAGAUUUCACUAAAACCAUUUAGUGUCUUUUCAGCUCGAAUCAAAGCUUCAAGUCCUGAAUUCUGAUGAGCGCACCAGGCGGCCGCGAUCUGGAAAAUGAACAAUUAAGAAGCGCGUCGCUAAUUAAGCGCAGAGAUCAAGCGCCUUUCUCUCCCCGCCCUCAAGGAGCUUCUUCCACCGGGCCCCCUUUGAUCAAAGCGAGGCCCCGAGCGGCGAUCGAGCCCCGCGACGGCGCGUUUGUCCCGCCGGCUAAACGCGGAUUAACACUCAGAAGAGAGAGGAGCAAAAACCGACAGAGGCAGAAAACACAACAAAUAUUUCCUGCUGAAGGAUCCAUGAAAGCCGCGGCUUGUUGAAUCAUCAUGAGUGAAAACAAAGAGGCCCGCUGCUCUCUGCAACUCUGCUCUCCGAAGCCAAAUGCAAAUGGAGCAGCUGUAAAAGUUUGAUUCGCGCAUGUUUAAUGUUCCUCAUUCCUUUUCUUGUGCUCUUGUUCUUGGGGAACAUGCAAAGUUUAUCAGCAGGGCCUGCGUCCCGGCUUUCAUGUCGGGCCUCGGCACGUCGACGGCGCCGCUGACAGAGAUUGAGGAGUCAGGUAGGAGCAGAGUUCGCCUGCAGGGCCGCGUGACGCCCGUGUCUGCUAAUCGGCGCUGACGUGCUCCUGAUGGCAGCCCUUCAUUAGAAGCUCCUUUAAAGGAGCUCCGACCUUCUGCGGGACCCGGCGCCCGCCUGUGUCGGCCUUUGAUUCCCGCGCCUCCGCCGCUUUCAGCUCGUCAUAAUGACAGCGCCGCUGACAGCUCCUCGUCACGCGCCUCUUGUCGUCUUUUGUGGGAAGUUUUGCAACAAUUAGCAUAAAUAUUUGAUCUCCUUCCGCCCUGAUGCUGCUGUUGCCGCUGCUGAAAUGGGAUCCGGCUGAAAGGCUGCCGGAAAACGGCAAACCUUUGUAAAGUGUACUUUUCUCCCCGUUAACAUACAAAGAUGAAGCGAGGGAGGCAAACAGCCAAACAUAUGUACCCUUUGUGGAAUCUUUUAUUGAACAUAUUUGGGAGCAAAGAGAGCAGAGUUUGAUUACGAGGCAAAUGCAAAUCUCCCCACACUUGUACGCGUUAUGUAUUUCACACCAACUUAUUUACAUUCUAGAUGGAAAGCAAUCGGCUGGAAGUUUACCGAGGGAAUCGCGGCUCCCCUGCCGACAGAGAGUCAAGAAACUUUCAGGGGGUGGAAACCCGGUGCCCACUGUGGAAGACUUUACUUAAGCUGGAGGAAGAGCAUCAUUAAAAUUAAAGGCAGGCACAGAAUUUCACCAGUCGCCGCCGCCGGCUACCGCUCAGCACUUCAAAACAAACCGCGCGGCCCGCCGACUCCAGUCAAACGCUCUUCGUUCACUAUUUGAUGCCGUCUGUUGGAUCGGAGCUGAUUAUCUCCCCAGUGAAACAUUCACAGAAAGAAAACGAGAAGAAAAAGGUGAAAACUCGACAGAAACACGCAGCCUGAGAUACGACCGGAGGCCUCGAUUUGUUCGGACUAAUCCAGUUUAUCGAGGCUCAUCAUGUGACCCAGAGAAAUCCCACGAGUACAGAAACCAGAACGUCGGUCCGCCAUGAGGCAGGACCAAUACUCCAAAAUCAUAGACUGGAUAUAAAAGAUGGCUGUAGCCUCUAGGAAUUGGCAUUUCAACCAAAUACACAGAGUGAUAUACACUGUGAGCGCUUCUGUGUAUUUUGAAAGAUUACCUCACUAUUAGCAGGGCUUUGUUAGCAGCUACAGCCACCUGUCAGUCACAGGCCAUGCCCCUAAACAUGCCUAAAACAAUAUGCCUUAAAAUAGUUUAAACUGCUGUGUUAUUAACUGCCCCCUACACGUAAACAUGUUCAUGAUAUAACGUUAUAACAUGAGAGUCUAUGGGGACUGACUCACUGCUGGAGCCUCUGGUGGACAUUAGAGGAACUGCAGCUUUUACAAACUAUUUUGAUCUAACAAAUAGAUCUAUUUAUAUUUCUAAAUCAUGACCAUCCCUAGUAGCCACUGUGACAUCAACCAAUGGUUUGAGACAUCCUGUUUUAAGAACCCAGCACGAGCAUUUUUCCAUCUUGGCUUUUUGAUGUGAUGAGUGAUUAUUGGUGAUUACAACCAGAGACACCGCCCCCUACUGGACAUUAAAAGAAUGCAGGUUUACGACACUUCUACAUUGGAAAUCACACAGUAACUUCAGCACUGUUGACUGUUUCUGGUCUUCUUUAAUGUUUCAUUAUUAAAACCUUUGAACAGAAGUGGUGGUAACGAUCAGUCCCGAAGGCCUCCGUGUGUCUGUGGGCCUUCUUCUUCAUGGAUUAUGAAACACGGUGUUGCCAUUAGUUUCUGCAAUGUGUGUCUAUCUGACAAAUGCAGAAUGUAAAGUCAAACAAAGGCAUCAUCAUCACAGCAUGAUGGCCGACAGGAGUGUCACCGUGCGGCCACUUUAAAGAAGAAACAGCCCAUCUCCACAGAAGAUGGCGAUUCUCUCCCACGUGCUCGCUCUUCGUCUUCCGUCUCUGUGAAACAGCUUUUCACUCCAAGAACCUCAUCGUCAUCUGUCACCGAACUUCCUAACAAAGCCGUCAUGUAAAUGGACUCAGUCAGCUGUGUCCUCCAUCUCUGAUCCUCCUCUCCAAUAUAUAUAUAUCAUCAGCAUAAUAACCCUCAUCCACCCUCACCCGCCCCUGGGUGACCACAGGACUCCACCCACCUUCAGGCACUGGCAGCACCACUGGGAUUUAUUACCAAAGGCACGGAGGGGAUCCAGCGCAGGCUUCAUUACAGGAUGUCACUAACCCACGUCAACGACGUAAGAUUCUGACAUCUCGACCAGCUCUGCUUCUUUGAUUUAAGAUGAGUUUAUUUGGUGUUGAGGAAAAAGGUCAGAGGACUCGCAGCAGCACCUCCGUGAUUUCUUACCAAAUUUAAAUUUCACAGUACAAAGAAAAAAAAACAGGGUAUACUAAACUAUUCUGUUAAAAAACAGCAUGUAAAUAACAGAACUAACCACAGUGUUUACCAGACUUUAUUUCGGGGUGCUUUUAGCUCUAUAAUCUUGAUGGUUUAUGAGACUCUCCUGGUCUCGUCGCCUGCUGGGACUCCAUCUCGUCCCUGGCGCUCUUCAGGCUGAGCCAGGCCCCAAUGAGUUAUUAUUACAUCCUGAGAAUAUGCAAAUUGAGGCAGAGCGACGGUGUGUAUUUUUGAUGGAAGAAUACAAAUCACUGCAGACAUGACACUUUUUUAAUUUUCCUGAUGAAUGUAAUGCUUCAGAAAGAGGAAGGAUUGAUGACGGGGCGUAAUGAACUCUUUAGCACGUGGAAGCUCGCAGGCUUUUCAUUACAGCGUCCUGAGCGAAGCCGCUCGGGAUCCACGGAUCUGUCCUGACCGGCUCAACGAUGAACCUCGGGUCCAGGUCCUGGUCCGCACGGGGAGAAGAGUCUGCUUAUACACACACAUGAUCGGGUUUUUAUGAGCUCCAUCAGUACGCGGGGACAGAAAAGGCGAUGUAUGUAUCUUUGUGUAAACUGUUGCCUCUUCUUCCUUAUCUCCCUCCCUCUCACUCUAUCCCAGCAUCCUCCUCUGUCACGCCAACCCUCUGCAUGUCCUCCUUCACUACAUCCAUGAAUCUUCUCAGAGGUCUUCUUCUUUUUCUCCUGCCUGGCAGCUCCAUCUUCAUCAUCCUUUUUUUUUUAAUCUACUCUCCCUCCUCUGCACAUGCCCAAACCAUCUCAGCCUCGCCUCCAUAACUUUGAUUCCCAAACCGACUGUGUGACACUCAGAAAAGCAAAGAUUAUAAACUGUAUUUGAAUCAGAGACUUUGCAACCAUAAUUGUAGUUCACCUAAAUAGGAAUAAUAUCUUGGGUUUUGAUAUGAAUAUUUUAACAACAAAUAUCCUUUUACAGCUCAUAAAAACACAAACAGACAAAUAAAUAUUCUCUAAAGCAUUUAACACUUAAAUACUGACAAAUGAGACCCACACAGCAUUUUCCACAUCCUGACGUAACGAUCAGAAUAAUUAGUGAAGUUGAUAUUUGUCUACUUUUUCUUUAAAGGUAUAGUGUGCACAUUCUUUGCUACUAGAUGUCAGUAGAUUACAGUAACUGAGCUCUGUUUUCUAUCCCUCCCAAUUCAAGCAUAAUCCUACAGUGACGCCUGUAGUACAAACAUGUUUCAGUCAGCCAAGAGACAUCGAAAACAUUUAGACUGCACCCCAAAAUGGCCGCAGCCAGUCAGUGUGUUUCUGCUACUGUUUAGACCCCAGAGUUUUUCCCCAUCUGUGUCAGUCUGCUGUUGACCUCAGCUGCCAAUGCCGGUGAGGAGUAUUCACUUGGCUGUAAAACUGUGUGAAAGGAGUGCGAUAUGAGUCGAUGUGUCAGUGAAGCUUGUUGAGUAUAUGCUGAACUGCUGGUAAGCUCUGCUGUUAGCCUCUGUUAGUGAAACUUUCUUUUUAUUGGAUGUAACUUUGUUGGACUCUGAUGCUUGUAUGUAAUCAAACUGCUGUUUAUGAGAGGCAAAGUUAGCCUAACAUUAGCUAGGAUAAGGUUAAUUUACUUUUUUUCGGGGGGGGGGCAUAACAGUAAUAAUAAUAAUGUGCAAUAAACAUUCACUCAUUCUUUUAUUUAUUUUUGCUCAGAUCUUUCUUGCACUUUAAAAAAAUAGAAUUACUGUGUUUUGUUGUGUUUAGCUGUGCCCAUGUGGGACAGUUCCCAAUUCUGUUGUACUACUGUAGCAGGCAUCACUGUGCAAUGACAGUAAACAGUUAUCUUAUCUUUAUAAACAGCUUUUGUUGUUGUUUAUUUAGCUCUUGUAGGCUGUUCAGAGACUCGAGGGUCACAUAUCUGUAAAAAAUAAGUAAUUGUG